UCUCCGUAGGUGAACCUGCGGAGGGAUCAUUACUGAGUGAGGGCUCACGCCCGACCUCCAACCCUUUGUGAACACAUCUUGUUGCUUCGGGGGCGACCCUGCCGUUUCGACGGCGAGCGCCCCCGGAGGCCUUCAAACACUGCAUCUUUGCGUCGGAGUAUCAAUCAAAUUGAACAAAACUUUCAACAACGGAUCUCUUGGUUCUGGCAUCGAUGAAGAACGCAGC
rnacentral:misc_RNA from 1 species